rnacentral:rRNA from 1 species
UACGUAGGCAGCAAGCGUUGUUCGGAGUUACUGGGCGUAAAGAGUAUGUAGGCGGUUGGGUAAGUUUGGUGUGAAAUCUCCCGGCUUAACUGGGAGGGUGCGCUAAAAGACUGCCUGGCUCGAGUGUGGGAGAGGAAAGCGGAAUUCCUGGUGUAGCGGUGAAAUGCGUAGAUAUCUGGAGGAACACCGGUGGCGAAGGCGGGUCUCUGGGCCGAUACUGACGCUGAGGAGCGAAAGCGUGGGGGAGCGAACAGG